rnacentral:rRNA from 1 species
GACGAACGCUGGCGGCGUGCUUAACACAUGCAAGUCGAACGGAAAGGCCCUGCUUUGGUGGGUUGCUCGAGUGGCGAACGUGUGAGUAACACGUGAGUAACCUGCCCUUGACUUUGGUAUAACUUCAAGAAACUGGGGCUUAUACCGGAUAUGAGCUCCUGCUGCAUGGUGGGGGUUGGAAGGUUUCGGCGGUUGGGGAUGGACGCGCGGCUUAUCAGCUUGUUGGUGGGGUACUGGCUUACCAAGGCUUUGACGGGUAGCCGGGCUGAGAGGGCGACCGGCCACAUUGGGACUGAGAUACGGCCCAGACUCCUACGGGAGGCAGCAGUGGGGAAUCUUGCACAAUGGGCGGAAGCCUGAUGCAGCGACGCCGCGUGCGGGAUGAAGGCCUUCGGGUUGUAAACCGCUUUCGCCAGUGACGAAGCGAGAGUGACGGUAACGGGUGAAGAAGCCCCGGCUAACUACGUG